rnacentral:rRNA from 1 species
CCUACGGGUGGCAGCAGUGAGGAAUAUUGGUCAAUGGGCGAGAGCCUGAACCAGCCAAGUCGCGUGAGGGAGUACUGCCCUAUGGGUUGUAAACCUCUUUUGUCGGGGAGCAAAAGCCGGACGUGUCCGGCUGUGAGAGUACCCGAAGAAAAAGCAUCGGCUAACUCCGUGCCAGCAGCCGCGGUAAUACGGAGGAUGCGAGCGUUAUCCGGAUUUAUUGGGUUUAAAGGGUGCGCAGGCGGAUUUUUAAGUCAGCGGUAAAAUCGUUGGGCUCAACCCCAUCCAGCCGUUGAAACUGGGGAUCUAGAGUGUGCGAGAGGUAUGCGGAAUGCGUGGUGUAGCGGUGAAAUGCAUAGAUAUCACGCAGAACCCCGAUUGCGAAGGCAGCAUACCGGUGCACAACUGACGCUCAGGCACGAAAGCGUGGGUAUCGAACAGGAUUAGAUACCCUUGUAGUC